AAACACCUUGUUACGGCAUGAGGACAAUCCCAGCCACCCAUUAUCAACCAUUGGAGAAUAUAUUUCUAAGAAGUUUAGGAGCCUUUGAUAUGACACUUAU